rnacentral:rRNA from 1 species
UGUGGUAAUUUUCCUUACCACCUUGAAUACACUGAUCUCAUCCGACUUUGGAAGCUAAGCAGGGUCAGGGCUGGUUAUUAGUUCAAUGGGAGACAACCAGAGAAUGUAGGGAUUUCCAGGA